rnacentral:lncRNA from 1 species
GUCCCUUGAUGCUUCCUACUCAAUAUUAACAUGUGCAUCAUUUUGUGUUUCAGCAUUUCUGUUUUCAUUAUAUUAUGAUAGGUUAAUUUUCCUAAGAAGACACUAUUUUGACAAAAGCAAAGCAUUAAAGUAAAGCAGCAUAAGAUCAAUUUUUUCCUGGUAGAAGGAAACACCAUCUUUCCAAGAAGACAAUUCUGCCAGGAAACAAAACAAACCAAAACAUUUCUGCAACCAGGUUGCCAAGAACUGAGUGAUGUGUCCACAUCCCGGGAGAGAGAAGCCAACAGAAGCUGGAAGAGCUAAAUCAGACUGCUCCCUAGAGCUUCAGAAGGAGCCAGAACUGAUGACUCCAAGAUCUUAGCCCAGUGAAACUGAUCUGGACUUCUGAACUAUGAGAGAUUCCAUUCCUGUUGUUUGAAGCUACCACAUUAUUGAGAACUUGUUACAGUAGCCCGAGGACACUAACACAAAUGGGGCUCCGGGAAAAUCCAGACUAAAGGUGUUGUGUUGGUUUGCAAUCUCCUUGCUUAACUUUCUGAUACUAGACAUAAAUAGAUUGGUGAAAAAUUUUGUGAUUGAAGAAAUGUACAUGAAACCUACAGCGUACAGAGAAGCAUCUGUUAGUUAUAAGAUAAAUAUUGAUAAUUUUAGUUGAAAAUGACAUAUGACUGUUAAUAUCUCACAUAACAUUCUGAGUUACUCAAGAAUGCAUAAAAGGGGCACUAGAUACUCUUCUCAUGUAUGUGUGUGUGUCUGUCUAUACAUGUAUGUACACUUCAUGGUGCAUCAGUUGGCGGAACCCUCAGGACACCCCUUCACAUCCUCAGUGCCCCAUUUCACACAUGAGGAAACUGUUCAUGACAGCACAUGGCUGAUUUGCAUAAAAGUCACUUGGUCAGCAGUUGUUGAAGCUGAACUUGGAAUCUAGGUCUGUCUGACCUUAACUAUGUUCCUUCCACAGAGCCACGUUCAUUCCAUAGAGGAACCCACCACCUAUAAAACCAGGAAAGAGACAAAGCCAGAAGUGCAGGGUGGAUUUCUUAACACAAGCUCACUGCGACCUCUAGUCCUCAUCACGCUGACACUAAGCUUAAACCCAGACCCUUCUACAGUUUUGUCUACAAAGCACA